CCUACGGGAGGCAGCAGUGGGGAAUUUUGGACAAUGGGCGCAAGCCUGAUCCAGCAAUGCCGCGUGAGUGAAGAAGGCCUUCGGGUUGUAAAGCUCUUUUGUCAGGGAAGAAACGGUGGAGGCUAAUAUCCUUUGCUAAUGACGGUACCUGAAGAAUAAGCACCGGCUAACUACGUGCCAGCAGCCGCGGUAAUACGUAGGGUGCAAGCGUUAAUCGGAAUUACUGGGCGUAAAGCGUGCGCAGGCGGUUUUGUAAGUUUGUCGUGAAAUCCCCGGGCUCAACCUGGGAAUGGCGAUGAAGACUGCAAGGCUAGAAUCUGGCAGAGGGGGGUAGAAUUCCACGUGUAGCAGUGAAAUACGUAGAGAUGUGGAGGAACACCGAUGGCGAAGGCAGCCCCCUGGGUCAAGAUUGACGCUCAUGCACGAAAGCGUGGGGAGCAAACAGGAUUAGAUACCCUGGUAGUCCACGCCCUAAACGAUGUCUACUAGUUGUCGGGUUUUAAUUAACUUGGUAACGCAGCUAACGCGUGAAGUAGACCGCCUGGGGAGUACGGUCGCAAGAAUUAAAACUCAAAUUGAAUUGACGG
rnacentral:rRNA from 1 species